AACGAACGCUGGCGGCAUGCCUAACACAUGCAAGUCGAACGAGACCUUCGGGUCUAGUGGCGCACGGGUGCGUAACGCGUGGGAACCUGCCCUUAGGUUCGGAAUAACUCCCCGAAAGGGGUGCUAAUACCGGAUAAUGUCUUCGGACCAAAGAUUUAUCGACUUUGGAUGGGCCCGCGUUGGAUUAGCUUGUUGGUAGGGGAAAAGCCUACCAAGGCGAAGAUCCAUAGCUGGUCUGAGAGGAUGAUCAGCCACACUGGGACUGAGACACGGCCCAGACUCCUACGGGAGGCAGCAGUGGGGAAUAUUGGACAAUGGGCGAAAGCCUGAUCCAGCAAUGCCGCGUGAGUGAUGAAGGCCUUAGGGUUGUAAAGCUCUUUUACCCGGGAUGAUAAUGACAGUACCGGGAGAAUAAGCUCCGGCUAACUCCGUG
rnacentral:rRNA from 1 species